rnacentral:rRNA from 1 species
GACGAACGCUGGCGGCGUGCUUAACACAUGCAAGUCGAACGGAAAGGCCCUGCUUUUGUGGGGUGCUCGAGUGGCGAACGGGUGAGUAACACGUGAGUAACCUGCCCUUGACUUUGGGAUAACUUCAGGAAACUGGGGCUAAUACCGGAUAGGAGCUCCUGCUGCAUGGUGGGGGUUGGAAAGUUUCGGCGGUUGGGGAUGGACUCGCGGCUUAUCAGCUUGUUGGUGGGGUAGUGGCUUACCAAGGCUUUGGCGGGUAGCCGGCCUGAGAGGGUGACCGGCCACAUUGGGCCUGAGAAACGGCCCAGAGUCCUACGGGAGGCAGCAGUGGGGAAUAUUGCACAAUGGGCGGAAGCCUGAUGCAGCAACGCCGCGUGCGGGAUGACUGCCUUCGGGUUGUAAACCGCUUUCGCCUGUGACGAAGCGUGAGUGACGGUAAUGGGUAAAGAAGCACCGGCUAACUACGUG